UUGAGCCGUAUGUCUUGAAAGGGACACGUACGGUUCUUGGGAGAGUGCGGGAGAGCAAUCUCCCAAUCUUAUCCGAC
rnacentral:ncRNA from 1 species